rnacentral:rRNA from 1 species
GACGAACGCUGGCGGCGCGCUUAACACAUGCAAGUCGAGCGAUGAAAUCUUGACAGAACCCUUCGGGGGGAAGAUAAGAUGGAUUAGCGGCGGACGGGUGAGUAACACGUGAGUAACCUGCCUUAGACAUUGGGAUAGCCUCGGGAAACCGGGAUUAAUACCAAAUGAAAUCACAUAUGCACAUGCAUAAAUGAUCAAAGCUCCGGCGGUCUAAGAUGGACUCGCGUCCCAUUAGCUAGUUGGUGAGGUAACGGCCCACCAAGGCGACGAUGGGUAGCCGGCCUGAGAGGGUGAACGGCCACAUUGGAACUGAGAAACGGUCCAAACUCCUACGGGAGGCAGCAGUGGGGAAUAUUGCACAAUGGAGGGAACUCUGAUGCAGCGACGCCGCGUGAACGAAGAAGGCUUUCGAGUCGUAAAGUUCUUUUAUAUGGGAAGAUAAUGACGGUACCAUAAGAAAAAGCCCCGGCUAACUACGUGCCAGCAGCCGCGGUAAUACGUAGGGGGCUAGCGUUGUCCGGAAUCACUGGGCGUAAAGGGUUCGCAGGCGGAAAUGCAAGUCAGGUGUAAAAGGCAGUAGCUUAACUACUGUAAGCAUUUGAAACUGCAUAUCUUGAGAAGAGUAGAGGUAAGUGGAAUUUUUAGUGUAGCGGUGAAAUGCGUAGAUAUUAAAAAGAAUACCGGUGGCGAAGGCGACUUACUGGGCUCAUUCUGACGCUGAGGAACGAAAGCGUGGGUAGCAAACAGGAUUAGAUACCCUGGUAGUCCAAGGGCGAAUUCCACAGUGGAUAUCAGCUUAUCGAUACCGUCGACCUCGAGGGGGGGCCCGGUACCCAGCUUUUGUUCCUUUAUGGAGGGUUA